rnacentral:rRNA from 1 species
UACGGAGGGGGCUAGCGUUGUUCGGAAUUACUGGGCGUAAAGCGCACGUAGGCUGACAUUUAAGUGAGAGGUGAAAUCCCAGGGCUCAACCCUGGAACUGCCUUUCAUACUGGGUGUCUCGAGUCCGGAAGAGGUUAGUGGAAUUCCCAGUGUAGAGGUGAAAUUCGUAGAUAUUAGGAAGAACACCAGUGGCGAAGGCGGCUCACUGGUCCGGUUCUGACGCUGAGGUGCGAAAGCGUGGGGAGCAAACAGG